rnacentral:rRNA from 1 species
AGCGCAUAGUGGCGAACGGGUGAGUAACGCGUAGGUGACCUGCCCCAAAAUGGAGGAUAACAGGACGAAAGUCUUGCUAAUACUGCGUAAUCUUUAUCUAGUUAGAGAGGAUAAAGGAAAGCCGUAAGGCGUUUAGGGAGGGGCCUGCGACCCAUCAGCUAGUUGGUAGGGUAAAAGCCUACCAAGGCAACGACGGGUAGGGGGCCUGAGAGGGUGAUCCCCCACACUGGCACUGAAACACGGGCCAGACACCUACGGGUGGCAGCAGUAGGGAAUAUUGCACAAUGGGCGAAAGCCUGAUGCAGCAACGCCGCGUGCACGAUGAAGGCCUUCGGGUCGUAAAGUGCUUUUCUGUAGGAAGAGAGAGGACUGUACUGCAGGAAUAAGGAUCGGCUAACUACGUGCCAGCAGCCGCGGUAACACGUAGGAUCCGAGCGUUAUCCGAAUUCACUGGGCGUAAAGCGCUUGCAGGCGGCAAGGUAAGUUGGAUGUAAAAUCUUCUGGCUCAACUGGGAGAUGCCGUUCAAGACUGCCUGGCUAGAGGGCGAUAGAGGGAGGUGGAAUUCCCGGUGUAGUGGUGAAAUGCGUAGAUAUCGGGAGGAACACCAGAGGCGAAAGCGGCCUCCUGGAUCGCAACUGACGCUGAGAAGCGAAAGCUAGGGGAGCAAACGGGAUUAGAAACCCCGGUAGUCCUAGCUGUAAACGAUGUAGACUAGGUGUUGGUGGAGUAAAAUCUAUCAG